rnacentral:rRNA from 1 species
ACACAUGCAAGUCGAGGGGUAUGGUUCUUCGGAACCAGAGACCGGCGCACGGGUGCGUAACGCGUAUGCAAUCUACCUUUUGCAGAGGGAUAGCCCAGAGAAAUUUGGAUUAAUACCUCAUAGUAUAACGACUCGGCAUCGAGAUGUUAUUAAAGUCACAACGGCAAAAGAUGAGCAUGCGUCCCAUUAGUUAGUUGGUAAGGUAACGGCUUACCAAGACUACGAUGGGUAGGGGUCCUGAGAGGGAGAUCCCCCACACUGGUACUGAGACACGGACCAGACUCCUACGGGAGGCAGCAGUGAGGAAUAUUGGACAAUGGGCGCAAGCCUGAUCCAGCCAUGCCGCGUGCAGGAUGACGGUCCUAUGGAUUGUAAACUGCUUUUGCACAGGAAGAAACAACGCUACGUGUAGCGUCUUGACGGUACUGUGAGAAUAAGGAUCGGCUAACUCCGUGCCAGCAGCCGCGGUAAUACGGAGGAUCCAAGCGUUAUCCGGAAUCAUUGGGUUUAAAGGGUCCGUAGGCGGUCUUAUAAGUCAGUGGUGAAAUCUCCCCGCUCAACGGGGAAACGGCCAUUGAUACUGUAGGACUUGAAUUAUUAGGAAGUAACUAGAAUAUGUAGUGUAGCGGUGAAAUGCUUAGAGAUUACAUGGAAUACCAAUUGCGAAGGCAGGUUACUACUAAUGGAUUGACGCUGAUGGAUGAAAGCGUGGGUAGCGAACAGGAUUAGAUACCCUGGUAGUCCACGCCGUAAACGAUGGAUACUAGCUGUUGGGCGCAAGUUCAGUGGCUAAGCGAAAGUGAUAAGUAUCCCACCU